GACGAACGCUGGCGGCGUGCUUAACACAUGCAAGUCGAACGGAAAGGCCCUGCUUUUGUGGGGUGCUCGAGUGGCGAACGGGUGAGUAACACGUGAGUAACCUGCCCUUGACUUUGGGAUAACUUCAGGAAACUGGGGCUAAUACCGGAUAGGAGCUCCUGCUGCAUGGUGGGGGUUGGAAAGUUUCGGCGGUUGGGGAUGGACUCGCGGCUUAUCAGCUUGUUGGUGGGGUAGUGGCUUACCAAGGCUUUGACGGGUAGCCGGCCUGAGAGGGUGACCGGCCACAUUGGGACUGAGAUACGGCCCAGACUCCUACGGGAGGCAGCAGUGGGGAAUAUUGCACAAUGGGCGGAAGCCUGAUGCAGCAACGCCGCGUGCGGGAUGACGGCCUUCGGGUUAUAAGCCGCUUUCGCCUGUGACGAAGCGUGAGUGACGGUAAUGGGUAAAGAAGCACCGGCUAACUACGUG
rnacentral:rRNA from 1 species